UACGUAGGGUGCGAGCGUUGUCCGGAAUUAUUGGGCGUAAAGGGCUCGUAGGCGGUUUGUCGCGUCGGGAGUGAAAUCAUCUGGCUUAACUGGGUGCUUGCUUUCGAUACGGGCAGACUAGAGGUAUGCAGGGGAGAACGGAAUUCCUGGUGUAGCGGUGAAAUGCGCAGAUAUCAGGAGGAACACCGGUGGCGAAGGCGGUUCUCUGGGCAUGACCUGACGCUGAGGAGCGAAAGUGUGGGGAGCGAACAGG
rnacentral:rRNA from 1 species